UACAGAGGUCUCAAGCGUUGUUCGGAUUCAUUGGGCGUAAAGGGUGCGUAGGCGGCGCGGUAAGUCGGGUGUGAAAUCUCGGAGCUUAACUCCGAAACUGCAUUCGAUACUGCCGUGCUUGAGGACUGGAGAGGGAUGCGGAAUUCCAGGUGUAGCGGUGAAAUGCGUAGAUAUCUGGAGGAACACCGGUGGCGAAGGCGGCAUCCUGGACCAACACUGACGCUGAGGAGCGAAAGCCAGGGGAGCAAACGGG
rnacentral:rRNA from 1 species